rnacentral:rRNA from 1 species
AUUGAACGCUGGCGGCAGGCCUAACACAUGCAAGUCGAGCGGACCGUCGGACGGGUGAGUAUUGCCUAGGUAUCUGCCUGUUCGUCUUGGCUAACGUCCUGAAACGGGCCCUAAUACCGCAUCCUAUCAGUUGAGCCUCGUUCGGAUUAGCUAGUUGGUGGGGUAAAGGCCUACCAAGGCGACGAUCCGUAACUGGUCUGAGAGGAUGAUCAGUCACACUGGAACUGAGACACGGUCCAGACUCCUACGGGAGGCAGCAGUGGGGAAUAUUGGACAAUGGGCGAAAGCCUGAUCCAGCCAUGCCGCGUGUGUGAAGAAGGUCUUCGGAUUGUAAAGCACUUUAAGUUGGGAGGCGUUACCAACAGAAUAAGCACCGGCUAACUACGUGCCAGCAGCCGCGGUAAUAC